rnacentral:rRNA from 1 species
GAACUUGGCAGAGAUGCCUUGGUGCCUUCGGGAACGCUGAGACAGGUGCUGCAUGGCUGUCGUCAGCUCGUGUUGUGAAAGUGUUGGGUUAAGUCCCGCAACGAGCGCAACCCUUAUCCUUUGUUGCCAGCGAUUCGGUCGGGAACUCAAAGGAGACUGCCGGUGAUAAACCGGAGGAAGGUGGGGAUGACGUCAAGUCAUCAUGGCCCUUACGAGUAGGGCUACACACGUGCUACAAUGGCGCAUACAAAGAGAAGCGACCUCGCGAGAGCAAGCGGACCUCAUAAAGUGCGUCGUAGUCCGGAUCGGAGUCUGCAACUCGACUCCGUGAAGUCGGAAUCGCUAGUAAUCGUGGAUCAGAAUGCCACGGUGAAUACGUUCCCGGGCCUUGUACACACCGCCCGUCACACCAUGGGAGUGGGUUGCAAAAGAAGUAGGUAGCUUAACCUUCGGGAGGGCGCUUACCACUUUGUGAUUCAUGACUGGGGUGAAGUCGUAACAAGGUAGGCGUAGCGAG